rnacentral:rRNA from 1 species
AACGAACGCUGGCGGCAUGCCUAACACAUGCAAGUCGAACGAGACCUUCGGGUCUAGUGGCGCACGGGUGCGUAACGCGUGGGAACCUGCCUUUAGGUUCGGAAUAACUCAGAGAAAUUUGAGCUAAUACCGGAUAAUGUCUUCGGACCAAAGAUUUAUCGCCUUUAGAUGGGCCCGCGUUGGAUUAGCUAGUUGGUGGGGUAAGGGCCUACCCAGGCGACGAUCCAUAGCUGGUCUGAGAGGAUGAUCAGCCACACUGGGACUGAGACACGGCCCAGACUCCUACGGGAGGCAGCAGUGGGGAAUAUUGGUCAAUGGGCGAAAGCCUGAUCCAGCAAUGCCGCGUGAGUGAUGAAGGCCUUAGGGUUGUAAAGCUCUUUUACCCGAGAUGAUAAUGACAGUAUCGGGAGAAUAAGCUCCGGCUAACUCCGUGCCAGCAGCCGCAGUAA